rnacentral:rRNA from 1 species
GACGAACGCUGGCGGCGUGCUUAACACAUGCAAGUCGAACGAUGAUGCCCAGCUUGCUGGGCGGAUUAGUGGCGAACGGGUGAGUAACACGUGAGUAACCUGCCCCUGACUCUGGGAUAAGCGUUGGAAACGACGUCUAAUACUGGAUAUGAUCACCGGCCGCAUGGUCUGGUGGUGGAAAGAUUUUUUGGUUGGGGAUGGACUCGCGGCCUAUCAGCUUGUUGGUGAGGUAAUGGCUCACCAAGGCGA